ACAUCUUAGUACCCGGAGGAAGAGAAAGAAAAUUCGAUUCCCUUAGUAGCGGCGAGCGAAACGGGAAGAGCCCAAACCAACAAGCUUGCUUGUUGGGGUUGUAGGACACUCUAUACGGAGUUACAAAGGACGACAUUAGACGAAUCAUCUGGAAAGAUGAAUCAAAGAAGGUAAUAAUCCUGUAGUCGAAAAUGUUGUCUCUCUUGAGUGGAUCCUGAGUACGACGGAGCACGUGAAAUUCCGUCGGAAUCUGGGAGGACCAUCUCCUAAGGCUAAAUACUCUCUAGUGACCGAUAGUGAACCAGUACCGUGAGGGAAAGGUGAAAAGCACCCCGGAAGGGGAGUGAAAUAGAACCUGAAACCGUGUGCUUACAAGUAGUCAGAGCCCGUUAAUGGGUGAUGGCGUGCCUUUUGUAGAAUGAACCGGCGAGUUACGAUUUGAUGCAAGGUUAAGCAGUAAAUGUGGAGCCGU
rnacentral:rRNA from 1 species